rnacentral:tRNA from 1 species
UCCCUGGCAGUCCAGUGAUUAGGACUCUAUGCUCUCAUUGCAGAAGGCCUAGGUUCAAUCCCUGGUUGGGGAA